GUCCACGCGGUAAAACGAUGAAUACUAGAUGUCGGGUAGCAAAGCUACUCGGUGUCGUCGCAAACGCAAUAAGUAUUCCACCUGGGGAGUACGUUCGCAAGAAUGAAACUCAAAGGAAUUGACGGGGGACCCGCACAAGCGGUGGAUGAUGUGGUUUAAUUCGAUGCAACGCGAAAAACCUUACCUACCCUUGACAUGUCUGAGAUCCUGAAGAGAUUUGGGAGUGCUCGAAAGAGAAUCAGAACACAGGUGCUGCAUGGCCGUCGU
rnacentral:rRNA from 1 species